CCUGCCCGGUGACCGGCCUCCCAGCAGCACCACUGGACCCCAGGGAAUCUCCUCAGCUCUCCCAAAGGUAAGGAGGCUGGGGGAUUAAAUUUAAAAAAACAAACAAAAAAAAAACAUGUGUUUGUGUUAGAGUGUGUGUUAGUUUUUGUCAGUGUGUGUUGCUGUGUGUGUGUCUGCUAGUGAGUGUGUUAGUUUGUGUGUCUGUUAUUGAGUGUGUGUCUGUUAUUGAGUGUGUGUCUGCUAGUGUCAGUAUGUGUGUCCGUAAGUGUUAGUUUGUGUGUCAGUGAGUGUGUUACUGUGUGUUUCUGUUACUGAGUGUUUGUGUGUCUGUUAGUGUUUGUCAGUGAGUAUGUAUGUCACUGAGUGUGUCUCUGUCAGUAAAUGAGUGUGU